UACGAAGGGGGCUAGCGUUGCUCGGAAUCACUGGGCGUAAAGGGUGCGUAGGCGGGUCUUUAAGUCAGGGGUGAAAUCCUGGAGCUCAACUCCAGAACUGCCUUUGAUACUGAGGAUCUUGAGUUCGGGAGAGGUGAGUGGAACUGCGAGUGUAGAGGUGAAAUUCGUAGAUAUUCGCAAGAACACCAGUGGCGAAGGCGGCUCACUGGCCCGAUACUGACGCUGAGGCACGAAAGCGCUGGGGAGCAAACAGG
rnacentral:rRNA from 1 species